rnacentral:rRNA from 1 species
UGCAAGUCGAGCGAACUGAUUAGAAGCUUGCUUCUAUGACGUUGCGGCGGACGGGUGAGUAACACGUGGGCAACCUGCCUGUAAGACUGGGAUAACUCCGGGAAACCGGAGCUAAUACCGGAUAACAUUUUCUCUUGCAUAACACAAAAUUGAAAGAUGGUUUCGGCUAUCACUUACAGAUGGGCCCGCGGUGCAUUAGCUAGUUGGUGAGGUAACGGCUCACCAAGGCAACGAUGCAUAGCCGACCUGAGAGGGUGAUCGGCCACACUGGGACUGAGACACGGCCCAGACUCCUACGGGAGGCAGCAGUGGGGAAUCUUCCGCAAUGGACGAAAGUCUGACGGAGCAACGCCGCGUGAGUGAUGAAGGCUUUCGGGUCGUAAAACUCUCUUGUUAGGGAAGAACAAGUACAAGAGUAACUGCUUGUACCUUGACGGUACCUAACCAGAAAGCCACGGCUAACUACGUGCCAGCAGCCGCGGUAAUACGUAGGUGGCAAGCGUUAUCCGGAAUUAUUGGGCGUAAAGCGCGCGCAGGCGGUUUCUUAAGUCUGAUGUGAAAGCCCACGGCUCAACCGUGGAGGGUCAUUGGAAACUGGGGAACUUGAGUGCAGAAGAGAAAAGCGGAAUUCCACGUGUAGCGGUGAAAUGCGUAGAGAUGUGGAGGAACACCAGUGGCGAAGGCGGCUUUUUGGUCUGUAACUGACGCUAAGGCGCGAAAGCGUGGGGAGCA